AGUAGUUUGACUCCGUGGCUACGAGAGACGCUGGCGGCGUGCUUAACACAUGCAAGUCGAACGGAAAGGCCCCUUUGGGGGUACUCGAGUGGCGAACGGGUGAGUAACACGUGAGUAACCUGCCCUUGACUUCGGGAUAACUUCAGGAAACUGGGGCUAAUACCGGAUAGGAAUCCUUGCUGCAUGGUGGGGUUGGAAAGCUUCGGCGGUUUUGGAUGGACUCGCGGCUUAUCAGCUUGUUGGUGGGGUAGUGGCUUACCAAGGCUUUGACGGGUAGCCGGCCUGAGAGGGCGACCGGCCACAUUGGGACUGAGAUACGGCCCAGACUCCUACGGGAGGCAGCAGUGGGGAAUAUUGCACAAUGGGCGGAAGCCUGAUGCAGCAACGCCGCGUGCGGGAUGACGGCCUUCGGGUUGUAAACCGCUUUCAGCAGGGGCGAAGCUUGCGGUGACGGUACCUGCAGAAGAAGCACCGGCUAACUACGUG
rnacentral:rRNA from 1 species